UGAGUACGAGACGCUAAGGCGUCGAAGUAGUGGAUGUCAUACUUCCAAGAAAAGCUUGCACUGCCAUAAAUAUAAAAUGCCUGUACCAUAACCGACACAGGUGGGUAAGUAGAGUAUACUAAGGGGCGCGAGAUAACUCUCUCUAAGGAACUCGGCAAAAUAACUCCGUAACUUCGGGAGAAGGAGUGCCUUAUUCUUAAGGUUGCAAUAACAAGAUCCAAGCAACUGUUUAUCAAAAACACAGGUCUCCGCUAAGUCGUAAGACGAUGUAUGGGGGCUGACGCCUGCCCAGUGCCAGAAGGUUAAAGAAGUCGGUUAGCAAUAGCAAAGCUGGUAACUGAAGCCCUGGUGAACGGCGGCCGUAACGAUAACGGUCCUAAGGUAGCGAAAUUCCUUGUCGGGUAAGUUCCGACCCGCACGAAAGGCGUAAUGAUUUGGAUGCUGUCUCGGAGAGGGGCUCGGUGAAAUAGACUUGUCUGUGAAGAUGCGGACUACCUGCACCAGGACAGAAAGACCCUAUGAAGCUUUACUGUAACUUGAAAUUGAAAUUGGACUUUAUUCGCGCAGUAUAGGUGGGAGGCGUUGAUUAUAAUCUUGUGGGAUUAUUGGAGCCAUCAGUGAGAUACCACUCUUGUAAUGUUAGAUUUCUAACUUUGAAUCAUUAUCUGGUCAAAGGACAGUUUCAGGCGGGCAGUUUGACUGGGGCGGUCGCCUCCUAAACGGUAACGGAGGCGUACAAAGUUUUCCUCUGAACGGUUAGAAAUCGUAUCUAGAGUGUAAAGGCAUAAGGAAGCUUGACUGUGAGACCUACAAGUCGAGCAGGGACGAAAGUCGGUCUUAGUGAUCUGACGGUACUGAGUGGAAAGGCCGUCACUCAACGGAUAAAAGUUACUCUAGGAUAACAGGCUGAUCUCCCCCAAGAGUUCACAUUGACGGGGAGGUUUGGCACCUCGAUGUCGGCUCAUCGCAUCCUGGGGCGGUAGUACGUCCCAAGGGUUGGGCUGUUCGCCCAUGAAAGCGGUACGCGAGCUGGGUUCAGAACGUCGUGAGACAGUUCGGUCCAUAUCCGGUGUAGGCGCUAGAAUAUUGAGAGGAGCCUUCUUUAGUACGAGAGGACCGAGAAGGACAUACCUCUGGUGUACCAGUUAUCGUGCCAACGGUAAACGCUGGGUAGCUAUGUAUGGAGUGGAUAACCGCUGAAAGCAUCUAAGUGGGAAGCCCACCUCAAGAUAAGUAUUCUCAC
rnacentral:rRNA from 1 species